UUUUUUUUUGAAGAAACUAAAAUGGAAUAUAUUACUGAACGCCUGAAUAUUUCAGCACAAGAAGUGCUAAAAAUCCAGCUGAAAAAUAUUAAAUACAAUCAAAGAAAUCUGGGGAACAAAAAGAGGAAAAACCAAAAAAGAGAGCUACCCUGUUACAUAAUAAUUCCCAAGCAAGGUAAAGGAUUUAACCACCAAGAAUGGUAGGAGAAAACAAAACUAGGACGAUUAGCUUUCAGCCACCAGUAAGAUUGAAGCUUAACUUUAUCUAGCAAUUGAUUAAUCGAAGCUUCUGUUUGGUGAAAAACCCGAGCAUUCCUUUCAAGCCAAAUCACCCACACACAAGAUANGAAAAAAGAUGUAUAUGUGCUUUUAAGAGAUAUAAAGGACCUAAACGGGAAAAAAUAAAGACAAAAAACCAAAGUGUUACAAAUAAAUAAGACAAAAAACCAAAGUAUAACAAUUGAG
rnacentral:lncRNA from 1 species